UGGCUCCUAGCUAACGUAACCAAAUCAAAUCAGCAUACCUUAACCACUAUCAAAUCCAACUAUACGAAUAUGACUGGAAUCUCUACUCCUAAUGUCUCAGUUGGUAUUUUCGUUCCACCACUUUCGUCCGUUUUUUUCCCUCGGUUUUUUGUCCUCUUCUCACACCCCGGAUUGCCCGACCCGCUAAAAAAAAUCCCCUCGUCCGAUCCCCAACCUCCCCCCGAUCCCGUCGCCGCUGCCUCCUACCGGUGCGCCACCACUCCCGCCUCCUUCCGGCGCGCCGUCAUCCCCGCCUCCUUUCGGCGCGCCGUCAUCCCCGCCUCCUACCGGCGCGCCGCCGGACCCUCCUUCUUCCCUGGAGCGCCACCACCCCGCUGCCGCCGCCAUCUUCCCGAGCGCGCCGCUGCCGCCGUCUUCCCCAGAGCGCCACCGCCCCGCCACCCCCGCCCACGGGACCAGUGGUCCCAUCGCCGGUCUCCCCCAACCCAGAUCUGCCGGAGGCGCACCGGAUCCUGCCUCACUGCCGGUUCCCGCGACUCAGCCGCCGCCCCAACCGCAGCAGCAGCCGAGCACCUCCACUAGGUGCCCCGGCGGUUCGGACCCCCACCUGGCCCCUCCCUCGAACCCAGCGAGCCUCCGCCCCGGCCUACUUCCCGCGCGAGGUCGCCUCCGCCUCCGCCUGGAUGGAUGGAUUCAGGAAGGUAUCCUUCCUCCCUGGGUGGAGUGAGCUGCAGAUCCCGUCCGGCCCUCGGGAACCGGCCAUCUCCGCCUCCUCCUCGCUGCCGCCGCUGGGGAUCACGUCUUCACCAAACGCGAGCUCCGCCCCAUCCGACCGACCGCAAAGGGAGAUAGGACAUGGCGGAAACAAAACUGCACGGCGAUGUGCAUUUCUGCAACACAUCAGGUCUACAUUUUCCAUUGCCCUGGACUUAUGAACGGAAGAAAAAGCAACAUGAAGUUCCUAUCUGCAUCAAACUGCUUUCACUUAUAUUCUGCCGAAUUUGUUCCUUCUAUGGGACUGUACAUGGGAUUAUCUACAAGGGUUAUGUCCUCUGCAGGUAGAUUAUCUUAUAGGACAGGUGAAAUGCAACAGAAGAAGCUCCUCCGCUGCUACUCGCCAAACUCCAAGCAAAAAGGACCUUCCACUUUCCUUGCUAAUGGUGAGCAACUCAAAGAUGUCUAAAAGGUUACGCUUAAUAUUUACCCUCCGUAUCUUAUUUACUUGACCAUUACAUGUAUAGAUGCUUUUAGAGAACAUGUAUAUAUAGCUGCAGAUCUGUUAUAUCUGAACAAUGGCAGAUUUGACCAUUACAUGUAUAUACCUGCCAGGAGAGAACAUGUAUAUCUAUCAGUUGUUUUUCGAUCAUUAAGAUAUUACUUUCUCAUCUUAUUUCUAGGUAUAAACACUGGUGCUGUUUUGUUUAAUUUCGAAACAUGCAGAUUAUCGUGUCUUCAUCCCUGCGAAGUGACAUUCUUUCCCAGUAAUCUGUGCAUGUGAAAAUUAUUUUCAAAUGCGAUUCUACUUGGUAGUUUUCAUAUUUCCAAUGGCCCGUCAAGUGUGCAUUUUCACGAGCUUCAGCAAACCCUUUUUCAGUCAUCUGGUCCAUGUACAUACCAAGUGCUUGUUGAAAUAAAAAUGCAAUUGGCUGCCAAUUUUAUCUUGCGUGUAUCACUGGUUAAUUUUGUAUAGUUAGUUUUAUGUCUAUAUAUUGUCAAUAUAUCGAAAGUUUGGUCCUCUGAGUAAGCACUUGGUUCCUUGUUAGGUCUGGCUAGAUCGAUAUUUAAGGGAUCAUUUUAGUCCCAGUUUUCCACCUUGCAUUAAAAGAAUGCCUUUGUAUCAUAGGCAGCUGGUCCAAUUACAUGAUCUUUGUGUAGACUAACACUCAGAUGGCUGAAACUCAAAGUUUCAGUAUCAAUACAGUAAAAUUCUCCCAAAUAGAUAAGUAUCAGUUCACUUCUGGGCAUUCAUCAAUUUUAGUGCUACAUAUUCCUAUUUGGAUUAUACUUGGUGCAUCAAAUUAAUGAAUCAGGAAACUCCUUUUUUGUUGUUUGGGCAGGGGCCUCAGUUUGUUCGGAAUCAGAUACAACCAUUUGAUCCAUUAUUGUUCGUGGGCAUCAUAUUAAAAAAAAUAUUUUUUGGAUUUUGUAAAGUUUGCGGUUAAUAAGCCGGUGAGAGCUGAUCCUGCAUUUUCUUGACCUCUUUCUCUGUCAGGUAAAUUACCAUGGUACUUUUCUAAUGUGAUUUGUAAAGUUUUACCAAUCUGGAGGAUAUUCAAUACCAAGAUUUAUGAUUUGGCAUAAGUGAGAUGACAUACAAGUGAGUUUAAUUCGUGAGAGUGAAAUAGCAACAGUUUUCUUAUCAUACCGCCGGCAGCUGCACCUCAACUGCGGAAAAAGAAAUCUUGAAGAACCAAGACCACCACCAGCUGGAAGAAGGUAAAAAUCCUUUUUUUUCUUCUCCCUCCUCAUUUGAUUUCCAUUUCCUCGCAGCUCUAGGUAAUUUCGUGACCUACCUCUUGGUAAGUCACCUAUCUGCAGAAUGCAUGUAGUGUGUGUGUGUCAGAUAUACAGUGAAAAAACACCACAAUGCAAGUGUCAGAUCCUGUUCUUGGUGCAAUUUUGCCACUAUGUUCUGGACUGUAAGCAACUGCUUCAUGUUAAACUAAAGCUCCAAUCAGGCUUGUGGCUCUUCUGUACCUGUAUGCCUAGAUUAUUUACUAAUGGGAUAUGCACUAGAUCUUCCUGUAUAGAAUCAUCAAUUGCUAGGAAUAGUCAUGGUUUUUAUUAAUUUUUCAUGUUUUUUUAUUUAGUUUGACUUCCACUUAUCUGGUACACUAAAUGAUCUCUAGCUAAUUUUUAACUAUUGAUUAGUACACUGAGAUGAAUUCUAUUGGUCUCAGAGUGCAAGAGAUUUCCUGGAUGCCUCAACUAUAUGCAUACUUGUAUUAUAUUUGACACCCUCAUGAAAUGUACUAGAUGGCGUAUUCUUCCGUGUAGCUUAAAAUUCUUAAAACAAAUGUCCCUAAAAUAGCAAGGUGAAAUCUUGAUUUUUCUUGCUGUGAACAAAUGCAUCAUAAUUAAUUUCCCUUAUUGUAUCAAUAUCAUCACGGGCAUCACUAGCCAUCAGACUACUGAUAGUUCGCAACUAUCAGACCAGUCCAAGGCCGUUGGGUCAGAUGCCGGACGUACGCUCGAUCUGGUAGUCCGCUUGUUUGAUUAGAUGCUUCCAAUCCCUAAUUUGUUGCUGCUUCCUAAUCGCUCCCGCAAUGCACGCCCUGCAUCCCUGCGUCUCUCUCCAUCCCGAAUAUUACUUCCUUGCAUGGUUCCCUCGAAAUCAUGGAAACAUGGUGCCUGAUUCUUUCCAAGUUUGUUUCCUAAUGAGUGCUUCCAUAAACCAGGGCGAAAACUACUUCCAGAAAUCACGUGAGUACAUGUUCUUGAUUUUCGCAUGAGGCUAUUUGCUUCCUCAUGAAUCACAUCUUGAUUCCAUUUUUAUUUAAAUUUACUUCCAUUCGUGUGGAUGUUCUUUGACAUCAUAAAAAAUGUUUUUCCAGUGUAAUGCAAAAUUAAACUUGCUUCCGUUUAUCAAUGAGUUUGCGCCCAUAGUGAACUAAACUUGCUACGGUUAAUACAUAUUUGUUUUCUACCUAGAGGAUUGCACCACCAAAAUAAGACAUUCUUCCUAUAAAAAUAACCAUUAUCAAGCAUAUUAGGGAUGUGAUUCCAAGAAAUACAAAUAUGCUUUGCUUUCAUCAUCUGAAAAUCAUUCUUCCAACACUACAAACUAUGCUUCAUAAUCCAGUCAUUUUUUUCUCUCAAAGCAGUUUCAUGUGUAUUGUUUUAUUUUUUUAGGUAUGAUUCCAUGUGUUAUGACCGCCGUUUUUUGGCUUACUAGAGGUUUAGUUGCUUUGUACAUAGCUUGUAGGAUUCCUGCCUACUAUGUCGCUCCGCAGCUACGGUCCUGUCGAAGCCCCUCCCUGCUCUGCUCCAUCCAUCGUGUCCGGCCUAGCCUCGAUGACUUCUUUUGUCCCACAAAUCUGUGGGUUUUGACAUCGCGAGCCACAAGAGUUGGUGAGGACCAGAGAGGCCAGCACCAUCGAGGGUACGAUGCCCUUGACCUUUGACAGCCGAGUGUGCAUCUUGCUUGUUUGCUUGCAGCACGAUGACAAAACAAUGAGCAAUGAAAUGCUUGAUCUCACGUCGCACGCCAUGCCCCCAUCGACGACCGUGGCAUGCUCACAAUCAGUAAAGCAAGAUCUUUCGCUCAAGUUAGUUCUGCAGGAAUUUAGGAAGCAUGUGUAGUAUGAUUUGGGUACAAACAUGGCGCCUACAAAAUAAUAUGAAACAUGGAAAUGAAGCAAACUAAACAAGGUGUAGAAGCACAGUUGUUAAGUACAUGAAUCAAACCAUACACUAUUAAGAAGCAUAACCAUGGUCCAUAUAUGAAGCAAACUAUGCACCAUGAAGAAGCACAACUAUGAUACAAUUGAAUCAUGAAAACUGGAUACAUCGUAUUCAUGUAAUCUCAACAUAAUUUCUACAUAGUGGAAGCACAUAUAAGAAAAAUGGGGUGCAAAAUAUCUAUGCACAGUCAUUCAAAUUAAGACAAGCGGUGACAUGCAUCUUGUCCAUAAUAUGUGUGAAAUUUAGGAAGCAUGAUUUAGUUGUUCAUUAAAUAAAAACAUGAUGCCUACAAGAACGUGCAAAGGAUUGGCAGAAAGCAGAACUGAACACGAUGUAGAAGCACAAGUUUGAUAUGUACGAAGCAAAGUGGACUCAAUGUAGAAGCAUUGGCAUGAUAAAUGAAACAGAGUUUAACCAGCAAUGGUGUAGUAGUACUAUAUGUAUGUAUGAAACAUGAAAAGCUGGAAGCAUUGUACGGAUGCAAUCUCGACAUACUUUCUAUAUAACGAGGAUAGUCAUGAAAAGGUUGGAUGAGGAUGGUAUGGCGGAUUCGCGCGACCAGCAGCGUGUGCUCCCUUCACCAACUUUGAACAUAGACAACAAAGAGGGGAAAAAGAUCGACAAAAAUCUUCUCGCUUCUCACUUAUAUUGCAGCCAAAAUUGAGAAGCACAUGUACAUAUGUACAUACCAAAUUCAGAAAUAUUACUCUGAUUCAGUCAUAUAAUACACAAUGGUGUGGCCAAAAUAAUAAAUGAGUUAUACAAAUACACAAUGGAGGUGUACAAAAUUCAUCAAACAACACUGGUGACAUACAAACAUGUUAGAAAUCAGAGAGGGCUAUAUCAAGAUUUCCCAGAAUUACCUAGGUCAGAUGAGGAUGCUACCUGCAGAGGAGAUGGGGGGCGACUCCAGCAAGGUUCCUCGCAUGAUGGAUUCGUUCGAAAACCGAGACGAAGCUCCGCCACGGUGGCCUGGACGCUGGGGGAUCCGAAGCAAGUGUAGAUAACCGGGACGACCAUGGACUGCGAGCUCGCUUGUCAUGCUCGACGUGGCUAAUGCUGGCCACCACAAUCGUGUGGGACGACGCACCUGCGAGUUGUGUCUCAUGGGAAUUGGGGAGGCUGGUUCAUGGCGGCGAGAACAAGGGCAGGGCGGCUGGGGACGAGAUUGGCGAGCUCCGGAGCAGGCGACGGGGAUGGGAACGGGUGGGCUUUGGCAGGUGAGAUUAAUGCGGGAGUAGUUAUGGGUGGAAAAUCAGGCUGUUUUGGAAACUAAUCAAAGGAUUUUGGACGCAAUCUCGGCCGUGAGAUGAAAGAAGCACCGACGGUGUGCGAUUCGUCUGACAAACGUCUGCUAUCAUGGUAGGAAGCGUUUCCAGUCAUGGUUUCUGAUUUUCUGUUGUUUGAGUAUGUGAAUAAAUUCACUUUUGGUCCAUUUGCUAACUUGAUGAUUGCCUUCUUAUAGCUCACGAUGGAUCUGUGCAUCAAAGUGUGAUCAGGCAUAAACAUGAAAGAACUAGGAAGCAAACCAUACUUCAUGUGUGCAUUGAGAUGAACUGAUUUUUAGACGCAACAGUAAGUUGUAAAACUGAGAUUAACCUUUUAAAGUUAUAUCUGAUACAUCAGUAGUAGGUUACUUGAAGUAGUCAGCAGCAGUAUUUUUCUUUACAAAAGUUUAGCUAAGCCUGUCAUUGACGUGAGAUUAUGUGGGAUCUUCACUUGUUCUGUAAUUUUUUUUGUACACACAUGUGGGCCUCCUACUUAUAUUAUGCGAUGGAUGUGAUUUGGGGUUGGGGUUUGUUCUGUUCAAUUAUCGUUCUAUGAGCGGAAUAAUUUCCCUACAUUAGAAAAUCUGGCAAAUUGCAUUUCAUUAGAGCUGACUUUGCAGCAAAUUGCUUGAGCGAGCGGUUCAUUUUUUUACAUCAAAGUCAUACAAUGUUUUAGUUAGUAUAGAAUGGUACAUGCAUUUGUUGGUUGCUUCAAGAAUUAAUAAUGGAUACAGUGACAACGGACAUCAUAGUUUGUCCAGUGGCUAAGGAAACAUUGGAUCUGCCUUCUUGGCUUAGGAGGCGUUGUGGGCGGCCAAUGCCUCCUUCCCCUUCCAUGGAGGCGGCGGAUCAACACGAACACAGAGGAAGGGAUGUGGGUGGAGAGUUGGGCGGUUUGCAGGGUCUCCUGGAUGGUCCAUGGAGAAGUUCGGUAUGAAGGAGAGAGGGUGCUAGCGAAGGCGAGGUGGGCGUCAUCCAGUUUUAAAUGAGAGGGCUCCAUCGAGAAAUGUCACGCUACGAUAAAAAUCGACCAGGAAGGGAAUGGUCUGACAGGAAAAGGAAAGGGUGUGUCGUGAGUUGGAUUUUUUUUGUGUUGGGCCCUCUUUUUGUUGGAGAUAACAUGAUGAAUAGUCCGGACAACCAUAUUUCUCCUUCGUAUAUGGUAUGUAUUUGGGGAAGGCUGAAUUGUCUAGCUGGUUUAAUUUUGGGGUGCCGGCUGGGCACCCGUUUGAUGUCAAACACCUUCGGACAUGGGAAGGAUAUAUGAGCUUCAACGUUGGAGACAAUCUUAAUUAUUUGUUUGAUUACUUGUAGCCCGUAGCAACGCACGGGCAUUUUACUAGUCAAAUUAGCUGGUGGGUUAAGCAAAAAUGGAAAGUCUGAAGGUAGGAGGAUGAGUAGCAGAGGCGUGACCAUCAUUGGUUGAAAUACCCAACCAACAUUGGAGUUGCUUCGCCGGAAAAGAGAGAGGAGGACGAAAGCCGCCAUCUAAUGAUGCUACAGGGUGCCACACUGAUUCCCGCUGAACAGAACAGAGAGAGGGAAAACAGCACCGCCGCUGCCAUGUCGACGACGCUAAAGGGCACCAGAGUGGUCUACACCGGGAACAGAAUCACAACCGGCAAAUGCGGCCAAAGGGCACCAGAGUGGUCUACACCGGGAACGGAAUUACAACCAGCAGAUGCGCUUAAGACCGGCGGUCGUGCCAGAGGACCAAGACCAUACGGCGAGAUCGCUUCUUUUCUACAUAGCCAUCCCACUUUAUCGUUGCCCAGGGAUAGAUUGGUCCUUUAUUUAUUUAGAGAGAGAGAGUCGGUUGGGCCUUUUAAUGAUACGAUCGGGAUUGUUAUGUUUGUGAAUCACAAGACCAUUGGCUUCGGUGCGUCUAGUCGCUGAAAGAAGGGACACCUACACCAGGAAGAUGGUGGGAUACUGGGAUCGGUUUACCUGGCAAGCGCUUGUAAUAGUCGUAGUCAGAUGAGCGAAGAGGGGGGCCGUCGUUGCGGGGCUUCGUGUGAGUUGGGCGGGGAGCCAUGACACCUGAAGCGGCGGCUUCGGCUGCGGCGGCGGCGGCACGCGCUGAGCGGAAGGCCAUCGCAGUGGCGCGGGAUGCGGCUGCCGCGGCGGCGCGAGAUGCGAGGGGGGCGUUACGGGCUGCCCGCGCUGAGCGGGAGGCCAUCGCAGCGGCGCGAGAAGCGGCUGCCGCAGCGGUGCGAGUUGCGAUGGCGGCCCGCAGGAGCCUCGAUUCCAUGGCGAGAGACGAGGCGUGGCGUAUCAGUUUUUGUUUUUUGUUUUUUUACGUCAAACAGAUUUUAUUCCUCAAAUAAUGGAACAUGUCAUUUACAAGCAAAUAUCUACUCUUAUCUUCUACGUAGUACUCUUAAAAAGGGAGUCCGUAAGUCAUUUCGUUCAUUCGCAGCCCCUCCCAUCAAUCGAAGGAAUGAUGAUGUGUCAGCCGUCAGGGUGCCGCCAGGGCUGUGGUGUGGCCGUAUGGUCAUCACAACUCAUAAAAAGGGAGUCCUUAGGUCGUUUUGUUCGUUCCCAGCCCCUCCCAUCGAUCGAAGGAAUGAUGCCGUGUCAGGGUGCCGUCAGGGCUGUGGUGUGGUCAUCACACUAGAACCCACUGGCCGGAUUUGUCUAGAUAAUAGGAACCCGCCGUUGAGCUGAAGCCAUGUGGGUGGAGGAGCAGGGUUGCCAGCGUCGUCGUGCUGCGGGCAGUGAGGAUGGGAGCGGGGCGGCCGCGUCGCUGAGUGAGGUGGAGUGGCUGGCGCGUCGGCGCAUGGGUGUAGAAUCAGGGGCAGCGGUGGUGCCGUGCUGGGGCGGAGAAGGCCGGUGCUGUGAUGGUCUGAGACUCGAUGGGUGGGAUGAGGAAGGAAGAGCACGAGGUGAAGAAGAAGAAAUGUCGCUGUGGAGAAGAUGAGACAAAGCAACAUCCAUUUUUUUGUUGCCAGGAGCUUGUGGGCGUGAAAGAGGGGCUCGCUUCUAAAAUACAACACCUAUAAUCGGACAUAAAGGAAAUCAGGUCUGCUCUUUAGGAAGAGAAGGCAAGUUCAGUAACAGAGCAAGCUGGGCAGGCACAAGAGCAUGUACUCAAGACUGACGAUGCACAGAUGGAGAAAUACACUAUAGUGCAAGCAUGAAAUAUGUGAUCCCUGAUUAGAACCAAAUUUGUGCUCAUGGAUGUUCGACUUAGUACAAUGGAAUACAAAGAAAAGUUUGUGAAUACAUACUAUAUAUGACUUGCAAAUCACACUUGCUGGACACAUAGCGGUAUAUCAGUAUCAGCAAACUGAAGUGAAUUCACCAAGUUUA